AAUGUACACUGUAUACACGGGCAAUUAAACGCUGAAGCAGCCAUUGGCUUUUUCCUGUUACCUUUCGUCGUUCCGCCGAAUCCGCCCUAGGCGUUCUCCACUCCGACUCUCUCUCUAUCUCUCUCAUCCGGAACCCACCAUUUCCGGAUCUGACGCCACAACAUGAGUCUCCGGCAACGCCCAUCUCGGGCCCCUUCUGAAUUCGAGCCCUACAAUAUCAUCCCUAUCCACAACCUCCUCGCCGACCACCCCUCCCUCCGGUUCCCGGAGGUCCGCGCCGUCACCACCGCGCUCCGAGCUGUUGGGGAUCUCCGCAAGCCCCCUUACUGCCGAUGGGAACCGCAAAUGGACCUCCUCGACUGGCUCGCCAUCUUCUUCGGCUUCCAGACCGACAAUGUUCGGAACCAGCGCGAGCACCUGGUCCUCCAUCUUGCCAACGCCCAGAUGCGCCUUUCCCCUCCUCCCGACAACAUCGACGCCCUCGACGCCUCCGUUCUGCGUAAGUUCCGCCGGAAACUCCUCCGCAAUUAUACCGCCUGGUGCUCCUACCUCGGCAAGAAAUCCAACAUCUGGAUCUCCGACCGCACUCAGGCCGCCUCCGAACACCGCCGCGACCUCCUCUACGUCUCUCUCUACCUCCUCGUCUGGGGCGAGUCCGCCAAUCUACGCUUUGUCCCCGAAUGCAUUUGCUUUAUUUUCCAUAACAUGGCCAUGGAACUGAACAAGAUUCUGGAGGGUUACAUAGACGAGAACACGGGUCAACCGGUGAUGCCCUCGAUUUCGGGCGAGAACGCGUUCUUGAACUGCGUUGUGAAACCGAUAUACGAGACGAUUAGGACCGAGGUUGAGAGUAGUAAGAACGGAACUGCGCCGCACAGUGUGUGGCGCAACUACGAUGAUAUCAACGAGUAUUUUUGGAGUAAAAGGUGUUUUCAGAAGCUCCAGUGGCCGAUCAAGUUAGAUAGUACUUUUUUCGUGACUACUGGUAGAGCGGGGAGACAUGUGGGGAAGACCGGCUUCGUGGAGCAGAGGUCGUUUUGGAACUUGUUUAGGAGUUUCGAUAGGUUAUGGGUGAUGCUGGUGUUGUUUUUGCAGGCGGCUAUUAUUGUUGCAUGGGAGGGGAAGGAUUAUCCAUGGCAGGCAUGGAAGAGCAGGUAUGUGCAGGUGCGUGUUUUGACUGUGUUUUUCACGUGGAGUGGGUUGAGGUUCUUGAAGUCCUUGUUGGACGCCGGGAUGCAGUAUAAUUUGGUCUCAAGGGAGACGUUGGGGCUUGGGGUGAGGAUGGUGAUGAAGAGCGUGGUUGCUGCCACUUGGAUUCUGGUUUUCGGGGUGUUUUAUGGCAGGAUAUGGUCGCAGAAGAACGCUGAUAGGAGGUGGUCCCCUGAGGCAGAUAGAAGGGUGGUGACUUUUCUUGAGGUGGCGCUGGUUUUCGUGUUGCCGGAGCUUCUGGCAGUGGCACUGUUUAUAAUUCCGUGGAUCAGGAAUUUUCUUGAGGAGACAAACUGGAGGAUCUUUUAUAUGUUGUCAUGGUGGUUUCAGAGCAGGACUUUUGUGGGUCGUGGGUUGACGGAGGGUCUCGUGGAUAACAUCAAGUACACUUUGUUCUGGGUUUUAGUGCUUGCUACGAAAUUUUGUUUUAGUUACUUUUUGCAGAUUAAACCGAUGAUUGCCCCAUCAAAAGUAAUUUUGAAAGAAACCGUGCAUUAUCAAUGGUAUCAGCUGUUCAAAAACAGUAACAGAUUAGCAGUUGUGCUAUUGUGGCUCCCUGUUAUUUUGAUUUACUUAAUGGAUAUUCAGAUUUGGUACUCAAUCUACUCGUCUCUUGUUGGGGCAGCAGUGGGGUUGUUUCAGCACUUAGGUGAGAUUCGAAAUAUUGAACAAUUGAGGCUGAGGUUCCAGUUCUUUGCAAGUGCCAUUCAAUUCAAUCUCAUGCCAGAGGAGCAGCUGUUAAAUUCAAGGGGGAUGAGGAAUAAGUUUAAGGAUGCCAUCCAUCGGUUGAAACUGAGAUAUGGGCUUGGUCGACAUAGGAAGCUUGAAUCCAACCAGGUUGAGGCAAAUAAGUUUGCUUUGAUAUGGAAUGAAAUCAUUUCGAUAUUCAGGGAAGAAGAUAUCAUCUCUGACCAUGAGCAUGAGCUGUUAGAGCUGCCCCAGAAUUCUUGGAAUGUCAGGGUCAUCCGCUGGCCUUGUUUCCUUCUCUGUAAUGAACUGCUGCUUGCACUCAGUCAGGCGAAAGAGUUAGUAGAUGCUCCUGAUAAGUGGAUCUGGUAUAAGAUAAGAAAGAAUGAGUACAGGCGUUGUGCUGUGAUUGAAGCUUAUGACUCUAUCAGGCACUUGUUGCUUGAGAUUAUCAAAAUAAACACUGAAGAGCAUUCCAUCAUGACCAUAUUCUUUCAAGAGAUCGAUCACUCUAUUCAGAUUGAGAGGUUUACUAAGACAUUUAAUAUGACCGUACUACCCCAGCUUCAUGCCCAGUUGAUCAAACUUGUUCAGCUAUUGAACAAGCCUAAGAAAGAUCCUAGCCAGGUGGUGAAUAUACUGCAGGCCGUAUAUGAGAUUGCUAAACGGGAUCUUUUCAAGGAGAAGAAGAGCAUUGAACAGCUGAGGGAGGAUGGUUUGGCUCCCCGUAGUCCCGCUUCCACUCAGGGGCUGCUUUUUGAGAAUGCUGUCAACUUGCCUGAUCCCAGUAACGAGACUUUCUAUCGGCAGGUUCGGCGGUUGCACACAAUUCUUACCUCUCGGGACUCUAUGCACAAUAUCCCAGUAAAUCUUGAGGCAAGACGCCGAAUUGCCUUCUUCAGUAACUCCCUUUUCAUGAACAUACCCCAUGCACCCCAAGUUGAGAAAAUGAUGGCCUUCAGUGUUCUGACUCCUUACUACAGUGAAGAAGUACUCUUUGGUAAAGAACAACUUAGAAUGGAGAAUGAAGAUGGGGUUUCUAUCAUGUACUAUUUGCAAACAAUUUAUGCUGAUGAGUGGACAAAUUUUAUAGAGAGGAUGCGCCGAGAAGGAAUGGUGAAAGAGGAAGAAUUAUGGACAACGAGGCUAAGGGAUCUUAGGCUUUGGGCAUCAUACAGGGGUCAGACACUUGCCCGCACUGUAAGGGGAAUGAUGUAUUACUAUCGGGCCCUUAAGAUGCUGGCAUUUCUAGAUUCUGCCUCAGAGAUGGACAUCCGGGAAGGAUCACGAGAACUUGGUUCAAUGAGGCGAGAUGAUUUGGAAGGUUACAGCUCGGAAAGGUCACUUUCCUCCAGGAGUUUGGGUAGAACAAGCAGUUCAGUCAAUUUGUUAUUUAAAGGACACGAGUAUGGGACUGCUUUGAUGAAGUUCACUUACGUGGUUGCCUGCCAGAUAUAUGGGACUCAAAAAGCAAAAAAGGAUCCUCAUGCUGACGAAAUCUUGUCUCUUAUGAAAGACAACGAGGCCCUUCGAGUUGCCUAUGUCGAUGAGGUUUCCACUGGGAGGGACGGGAAGGACUACUACUCUGUCCUUGUGAAGUACGAUCACCAAUUGCAGAAGGAAGUGGAAAUCUACCGCAUAAAGUUGCCUGGUCCCUUAAAGCUUGGAGAGGGAAAGCCGGAGAAUCAAAAUCAUGCCAUCAUCUUCACCCGAGGUGAUGCUGUUCAGACUAUUGAUAUGAAUCAAGACAACUAUUUUGAGGAGGCACUCAAAAUGCGUAAUCUGUUGGAAGAAUUCAGGCACAAUUAUGGCAUCCGGAAGCCUACCAUAUUGGGAGUUAGGGAGCACAUUUUUACUGGUUCCGUUUCAUCACUUGCUUGGUUUAUGUCAGCUCAGGAAACGAGUUUUGUCACUUUGGGACAGCGUGUUUUGGCAAACCCCUUGAAAGUUAGAAUGCAUUAUGGCCAUCCAGAUGUUUUUGACAGGUUUUGGUUCUUGACUCGUGGUGGCAUCAGUAAAGCUUCCAGAGUGAUUAACAUCAGUGAGGACAUUUUCGCUGGCUUUAAUUGCACGUUGCGUGGAGGCAAUGUUACCCACCAUGAAUAUAUCCAGGUUGGCAAGGGAAGGGAUGUUGGGUUGAAUCAAGUAUCCAUGUUUGAGGCCAAGGUUUCUAGUGGAAAUGGCGAGCAAGUUCUCAGCAGAGAUGUCUACAGGUUGGGUCAUAGGUUGGACUUCUUCAGGAUGCUGUCAUUCUUUUACACUACUGUGGGGUUCUUUUUCAACACAAUGAUGGUGAUUCUUACUGUAUAUGCAUUUCUGUGGGGACGACUCUAUCUGGCUCUUAGUGGUUUUGAGGAUUCUGUUUUGGCAGAUGACACAAAGAGCAAUAAAGCACUUGUUACAGUCCUGAACCAGCAGUUCAUCAUCCAACUUGGUCUGUUCACUGCCCUUCCAAUGAUAGUGGAGAACUCUCUUGAGCAUGGGUUCCUGAGCGCUAUUUGGGAUUUCUUGACAAUGCAGCUACAGCUGUCAUCUGUCUUUUACACAUUCUCUAUGGGAACGCGUGCCCACUACUUUGGCCGGACUAUUCUUCAUGGUGGUGCAAAAUAUCGGGCCACUGGGCGUGGUUUUGUUGUGCAGCAUAAAAGUUUUGCUGAGAAUUAUAGACUCUAUGCUCGUAGCCAUUUUGUGAAGGCCAUUGAACUUGGGCUGAUUCUGAUAGUUUAUGCAUCACACAGUCCUGUAGCUGGAAAUACAUUUGUUUACAUAGCCAUGACCAUCACAAGUUGGUUCCUUGUUGUCUCAUGGAUUAUGACCCCAUUUGUGUUUAAUCCUUCUGGAUUUGAUUGGUUGAAGACUGUUUAUGAUUUUGAUGACUUUAUGAACUGGAUUUGGUACUAUGGCAGCGUGUUUGCAAAAUCUGAACAGAGCUGGGAAAGAUGGUGGUAUGAGGAGCAGGAUCAUCUUAGGACGACUGGCUUGUGGGGAAAGAUACUGGAAAUUAUCUUAGACCUUCGAUUUUUCUUUUUCCAGUACGGGAUAGUAUACCAGUUAAAUAUUGCUGCCGGGAGUACCAGUAUUGCUGUUUACUUGUUGUCUUGGAUCUAUGUGUUCGUGGCUUUUGGCAUUUACGUGGUAAUAGUAUAUGCUCGGGAUAAAUAUGCAGCAAAAGAACACAUUUACUAUCGUCUAGUCCAGUUCCUUGUUAUUAUACUUGUGAUAGUUGUGAUAAUUGCCCUGCUGGAAUUCACUGAGUUCACAUUUAUUGAUAUUUUCACUAGUUUGUUGGCAUUCAUCCCCACAGGGUGGGGCAUGAUAUUGAUUGCCCAAGUAUUCCGGCCCCUUUUGCAGCACACUAUACUUUGGGACUCUGUUGUUUCUGUGGCCCGACUAUAUGAUAUAAUUUUUGGAGUCAUUGUCAUGGUUCCUGUGGCAUUACUGUCAUGGUUGCCUGGUUUUCAGUCAAUGCAGACAAGAAUUCUUUUCAAUGAAGCAUUUAGUAGGGGACUCCGCAUUUUCCAGAUUGUAACAGGAAAAAAAUCUAAAGUUGAUUCAUGAUUUGAGGUCUGGUUUGUGAGGUGGUGUAAAGGAACGGGAGAAGUUGAGGGGCAGGAUCUUUUUUAUUAUAUAUCUGCUUCGUGGAGGUUCUUUUGUGUAUGUCUGUUUAGAUUCCAUUAUGUUCCAUUCCUGCAGCAGGGAGGGGAGCUCUUGGAUAUUGUGCUUUUACUUCCCACUUUUUCUUCAAAAGUUAGAGCUCUUCGCAUAGUGUAUGCACUCUGCACCGGGUAAAGAGCCUAGUUUAGUAGUUUGCUCAGAUUACAAUCUAACCAGACUGACUCUUAGAAGGAAGGAAUUUAACAACUUCAUUGAACGAGGAAGGGGGGAGUGGCUAUGGUUUUGUGGGUUUGUGGAGAAGAUGAAGAAUUCUAAAGCUGAGAAUGAGACUAUGAAGGGAGAUGAAAUCACAGACCUAGAAUACGAAAGAGAACAAGGAGCAUACGAAGUGGAAAACCAGAGCUUGCUCACAUGGUAGAAGAAGAUAAGAAGACAAAGCUGUAAAGCCGAUGCAAAGACGUAGGACUCUGUUUGAAAGAUGCGACGAAGAUGCAAACCCUAAGCUAUGAAUAGGAAGGACUUUGUAUUGGAGGGAGGCUUUGAAGGACUUCAUAUUACUUUAUGGGAAGACGAAGGGACGAAGGGCAACGUUGGGAGGGAUGACUUCAUAUUACUCUGUCGUUUUGAUAUAUUAUGGAAACGCAACGUUUCCAUUUUUCCACACUGGUAGUCCCGACUCCUCAGUGUUUACGUUGGGUGCUUGUAUUCAGCAUUUUUCAAUUCACAAUCUCGUGAUAACGUGCAAUAUUUGCAGCAAAUGGAAAUCUCAAAUAAUACUCGGAGACUACCUAAAUGGCAAAGCACUUGGAAACUUUCGUCAAAGUAUUAAUAGAUAAUGUUCUGUUUU